GCGCCCCUAGCUCAGCUGGAUAGAGCGACGGCCUCCGGAGCCGUAGGUCAGUGGUUCGAAUCCACUGGGGCGCACCA
rnacentral:tRNA from 1 species